UACGGAGGGUGCAAGCGUUAUCCGGAUUUCUUGGGUUUAAAGGGUCCGUAGGCGGAUCUGUAAGUCAGUGGUGAAAUCUCACAGCUUAACUGUGAAACUGCCAUUGAUACUGCAGGUCUUGAGUGUUAUUGAAGUAGCUGGAAUAAGUAGUGUAGCGGUGAAAUGCAUAGAUAUUACUUAGAACACCAAUUGCGAAGGCAGGUUACUAAGCAACAACUGACGCUGAUGGACGAAAGCGUGGGGAGCGAACAGG
rnacentral:rRNA from 1 species